rnacentral:rRNA from 1 species
UACGUAGGGUGCAAGCGUUGUCCGGAAUUAUUGGGCGUAAAGGGUGCGUAGGCGGCGUGGUAAGUCGGGUGUGAAAACUUCAGGCUCAACCUGGAGCGGCCACUCGAUACUGCCAUGGCUUGAGUCCGGUAGGGGACCACGGAAUUCCUGGUGUAGCGGUGAAAUGCGCAGAUAUCAGGAGGAACACCGGUGGCGAAGGCGGUGGUCUGGGCCGGAACUGACGCUGAGGAGCGAAAGCGUGGGGAGCGAACAGG